AGAAUGAAAACUGAACACCUAUAUAUCUGUUGUGUAGGUAUACCAGAAUGAAAACUGAACACCUAUAUAUCUGUUGUGUAGGUAUACCAGAAUGAAAACUGAACACCUAUAUAUCUGUUGUGUAGGUAUACCAGAAUGAAAUUGAUAAAAGAGUCGAGACGUAAACUCAGCAGCAGUUUAUCUAUUGUCUAUCUUAAAUAUGCAGAUUCUGUGUCAAAAGGAAAGUUUCGAGUACAUUACAGGAAUCCUUUUAUUCUGGGACACUUUCUGGAAAAACAUUUUUAUAGCAAUACAUUUCCAAACUACCAUGGCUAGAUUGUGGAAUUGUUUGGUGUUUUUACAGGCGGGGUCCUGGCCUAAAAGAUUCUGAAGUAGCCACAGUUUAUCACGGAGUUAGGUAGUUUGGUGAUGUGAAUUAAUGAGAGUUGAACCGAGGACCAGUGGCAUAAAGUGGAGAGGGAAGGGAGACAACUCUUUAAUGGCAAAGUUUUGAAUCAUGUGUGAUUGUGGUUUAUAUUGAAUCUUCUGAUAAGUGCUGAAUGUAUUGGGUGGUAGUGUCAGAGGGCCAACACUCUAUCGGAUGUGUCUGAAUGCUGUAUGUUUGUUUCGUUUGUUCAGCAGGUUGCCAACUUGUUUGAAUGCUGUAUGUAUUUUUUGUAUUGUCUGUUGUUUGGCAGGCUGCCUGUUUGAAUGCCGUAUGUGUUUUUUGUGUGUAUUGGUUGACAGACUGCCAGAUGUUUGAAUGCUCCAUGUCGUGAGUGUAUGUUGGGCCGAGCUGCCUGACAGGUUGUCUAGUAUUUCUUUGUACAUAACAUAGGUGUGGUCUUGUACAAAACACUUCCGUAAGAAUUGGAUUCCCUGUUGCUUUUGAUGUGGAGUAUUAACUUUCAUUACCCUUUCUUUUUAUUCAUUGCUCUUUCGAUAUUCACAAAGCAUAAUUUGUCUGCCAUCUUCAAUUCAAGAUUUCAAUUUUAUGUUGUUAUUAGUCUUUAAACACAAUGACAUGUCAUCCUGUCCUUUGAAGUUCAUACUUAUUUCUUUAAUGCUUGGUUAUAUAUACUGGUCAGUCCUAAUUUAUUUUCGCAAGAAAAUUAAUUGAAUUAACAAAAAAUAUCUACAUUUUCCAAAUUUUCUCCAAAAAAUUAAAGGGGAGAAAAUGAGUGGUGAUGCCCAGGAAUACAUCAGAAAUCUGUACUUAAAAGUAUGGGUAUAGAUUUCACUGUUAUUUUCACACCGUAUUUAUGUUUGUAUGUUGGGUUAAACUCGCCACAGAUCCGUAUUUAUUUUAACUACUGAUGGACAGAGAUCAGUGAUAUUAUAUACACUUUCCCAAGGGUCAAUCUCCACGUAAAGUCUCGAUGAGUCGACUGUGCAGUAACCGGGUGACCUGCCUUCUAUCUACUCGCCCAUUUCCUUCUAUUUCUGUGUAACCACAUCGAACAUGGGAAUCAAUCAUAGUUCAUCAGUAUGUCUGCUACAGUGUAUUUAACUGCAUGAGCUUAACACCACUAAAAAAGGGAAUAAACAAAGUGUAGAUAGCGUCAUUGUUCUCUACAUGUUUAUAGUAUCUGUUGAAAGAAAUAAAAAAAUUAAAAACACUUGAAA